CACGUAGGGUGCAAGCGUUGUCCGGAAUCAUUGGGCGUAAAGAGCUCGUAGGCGGCUCCACAAGUCGGAUGUGAAAUCCCUGGGCUCAACCGAGGAAGUGCAUCCGAAACUGCGGAGCUUGAGUAUGGAAGAGGGUCGCGGAAUUCCCGGUGUAGAGGUGAAAUUCGUAGAUAUCGGGAGGAACACCAGUGGCGAAGGCGGCGACCUGGGCCAAUACUGACGCUGAGGUGCGAAAGCGUGGGGAGCAAACAGG
rnacentral:rRNA from 1 species